rnacentral:piRNA from 1 species
UGUGAGUAAGCCUCAGUUUUUCAUGGAUGCC